rnacentral:tRNA from 1 species
GCAUUGGUGGUUCAGUGGUAGAAUUCUCGCCUGCUACGUGGGAGGCCAGGGUUUGAUUCCCAGCCAAUGCA